rnacentral:rRNA from 1 species
UACGUACUGUGCGAACGUUAUUCGGAAUCACUGGGCUUAAAGGGUGCGUAGGCGGCCGAUUAAGUAGGGUGUGAAAUGCCAGAGCUCAACUUUGGCAUUGCGCUCUAGACUGGUUGGCUUGAGUGAGAUAGGGGGUGUGCGGAACUUCCAGUGGAGCGGUGAAAUGUGUUGAUAUUGGAAGGAACGCCGGUGGCGAAAGCGGCACACUGGGUCUUAACUGACGCUGAGGCACGAAAGCCAGGGGAGCGAACGGG